rnacentral:rRNA from 1 species
GUGAACGCUGGCGGUAGGCCUAACACAUGCAAGUCGAACGGCAGCACAGUAAGAGCUUGCUCUUACGGGUGGCGAGUGGCGGACGGGUGAGGAAUACAUCGGAAUCUACUUUUUCGUGGGGGAUAACGUAGGGAAACUUACGCUAAUACCGCAUACGACCUACGGGUGAAAGCAGGGGAUCUUCGGACCUUUCGCGAUUGAAUGAGCCGAUGUCGGAUUAGCUAGUUGGCGGGGUAAAGGCCCGCCAAGGCGACGAUCCGUAGCUGGUCUGAGAGGAUGAUCAGCAACACUGGAACUGAGACACGGUCCAGACUCCUACGGGAGGCAGCAGUGGGGAAUAUUGGACAAUGGGCGCAAGCCUGAUCCAGCCAUACCGCGUGGGUGAAGAAGGCCUUCGGGUUGUAAAGCCCUUUUGUUGGGAAAGAAAAGCAGCAGGUUAAUACCCCGCUGUUCUGACGGUACCCAAAGAAUAAGCACCGGCUAACUUCGUG